CAUCGGCCCCAUGUUGCGUUGCU
rnacentral:miRNA from 1 species